rnacentral:misc_RNA from 1 species
UCUUUUAGAGAAAAGGGAAAGUAUCUAGAACAAAAGAAGUGCUCAUUCUUCUUUCCUUGGCUAGUCUUUAUAAAAUAUCCCACCUGGACUUCCACCUCACUAUUUUUUCCACGCCUUCAAACCAGGCGCUUCAUAUACUUACGGCACGGCAGUGCACAAUAAGCCAAUUGUAAUUGUUGAAUCUAGUUGUACUUGCUAAGUUGAUUUAAUGGGGACAGGGGAAGAGAGCACACCUGCUAAGCCUUCCAAAUCAGCAUCAUCAACUCAGGAAGUACCAACAACACCCUCAUAUCCUGAUUGGUCAAACUCUAUGCAGGCUUAUUAUGGUGCUGGAGCUUCUCCACCUCCUUUUUUUGCAUCAACUGUACCAUCUCCAACUCCUCAUCCAUAUAUCUGGGGCAGCCAGCAUCCUCUAAUUCCACCCUAUGGCACCCCAGUUCCAUACCCAGCUUUAUAUCCUGCUGGGGGAUUAUAUGCCCAUCCUAAUAUGACCAUGACACCAAAUUCAGCACAGAUAAAUACAGAGUUGGAAGGAAAGGCUGCUGAUGGAAAGGAUCGGGCUUCAGCCCAAAAAUCCAAAGGAACAUCA